UAAUACGAAGGGACCUAGCGUAGUUCGGAAUUACUGGGCUUAAAGAGCUCGUAGGUGGUUAGAAAAGUUAGUGGUGAAAUCCCAAGGCUUAACCUUGGAACUGCCACUAAAACUUUUUAACUAGAGUGUGAUAGAGGUAAGCGGAAUUUCUAGUGUAGAGGUGAAAUUCGUAGAUAUUAGAAAGAACACCAAUUGCGAAGGCAGCUUUCUGGAUCAUUACUGACACUGAGGAGCGAAAGCAUAGGUAGCGAAGAGGAUUAGAUACCCUCGUAGUCCAUGCCGUAAACGAUGUGUGCUAGACGUUGGAAAUUUAUUUUUCAGUGUCGCAGCAAAAGCGUUAAGCACACCGCCUGGGGAGUACGACCGCAAGGUUA
rnacentral:rRNA from 1 species